AUCGAACGCUGGCGGCAGGCCUAACACAUGCAAGUCGAACGAGUGGCGGACGGGUGAGUAAUGUCUGGGAAACUGCCUGAUGGAGGGGGAUAACUACUGGAAACGGUAGCUAAUACCGCAUACUAUCGGAUGUGCCCAGAGGGGAUUAGCGAGUCGGUGGGGUAACGGGUCACCUAGGCGACGAUCCCUAGCGGGUCUGAGAGGAUGACCAGCCACACUGGAACUGAGACACGGUCCAGACUCCUACGGGAGGCAGCAGGGGGGAAUAUUGCACAAUGGGCGCAAGCCUGAUGCAGCCAUGCCGCGUGUAUGAAGAAGGGCUUCGGGUUGUAAAGUACUUUCAGCGGGGAGGCGUUACCCGCAGAAGAAGCACCGGCUAACUCCGUGCCAGCCGCCGCGGUAAUAC
rnacentral:rRNA from 1 species